UGGGGAAUAUUGCACAAUGGGGGAAACCCUGAUGCAGCGACGCCGCGUGAGCGAAGAAGUAUUUCGGUAUGUAAAGCUCUAUCAGCAGGGAAGAAGAAAUGACGGUACCUGACUAAGAAGCACCGGCUAAAUACGUGCCAGCAGCCGCGGUAAUACGUAUGGUGCAAGCGUUAUCCGGAUUUACUGGGUGUAAAGGGAGCGCAGGCGGAAGGCUAAGUCUGAUGUGAAAGCCCGGGGCUCAACCCCGGUACUGCAUUGGAAACUGGUCAUCUAGAGUGUCGGAGGGGUAAGUGGAAUUCCUAGUGUAGCGGUGAAAUGCGUAGAUAUUAGGAGGAACACCAGUGGCGAAGGCGGCUUACUGGACGAUAACUGACGCUGAGGCUCGAAAGCGUGGGGAGCAAACA
rnacentral:rRNA from 2 species